UUUAAUUUUAUCAUAUAAGAAUACCAGUUACCUUCUGUAGAAAUGCCUAUUAAUUAUACACUGUAGUUUGCAACGUUAAGUUAGCGUGUAAUAUAUGUUCUCGGUAUAAAAGUUAAAUAUAUUUUCAAAAUCUUGAUGGAAGACAAAGUGUUCACAUACAGGUCAAAUGCUUAUAAUUAGCCUAUGCAAUUAAAAAUGUUUAUGGAUGAAUAACAACAAGUUUCCAAUUUGUUUUAAAAUUUUAGGACCAAAAAAGCAUCACUAUCCAUGCAAAACCUUAUCUUGAAGUUUAAGAACAUUGUGUAUUGUAGAAAAAGUUCUGUAAAUUUCAAAAGAUUUGAAAGGAUUU
rnacentral:lncRNA from 1 species